CCCCGCCCCGCCGCGACCCUCCCGCGCCCCCUGCGCGGAGGGCACGUAGAAAGAAACAGAAAACAAAACAAAACAAACAAAGCGCCACAAUGCACCCUCACCUCAUCUACCGCGUAAAGAUAAUGCAACUUCCGUCAGAGAGACUAGAACCUACUCUUCCCUUUGGACACCUCUGCUCUUUUCCUUCUUCUUAAGAUGAGAACUGAAUCUUAGUUGAUGGGAUUUUCGGAAUACAAAAAUAUGAUUUUUAAAUAAAGCGUCUAUGAUUGUUAUGUCCUGUUGAUAAACUGACCCAUUUAUCAUUAUGAAAUGACCAUCAUUAUCAGAUUCGUAGAUGCGGUUGUUUUGGUCUAUCCCAAAAGUUGUACCACCACGAGCCAGAGAGUCAUAUGAGGUAAAUGCACCGUGGGACCUCAGACAUCAUGCCCUUCAGUCCUUUAGUUCAGCAAAUGAAGAAAUGCACCAAGAGACAACGAGCAAAAAUGAUACUGACUCCUGAGAGACAGCCCAUCCCUAAGAGAAGGAGAUCACUGCAGUCCUUCCUCUCAUUCUGCCCCACCAUCCCAGACUGCCUCUGGGGCACAGUCCACACAGAGUCUUUUUCCAAUCCGGUACUUCAGCAGCACCUGUAAAGAAGGCAGCAAGACCCAGAACCAUAUCCUUGAGAACUAACGCUAAACUAUUUCAUGGCCAAGUUGAGGAGAUGGAGAGACUGUGACCUAAAAUAAGGAAUGAAGAAAGAGAUGGAUAAGAUGACCCAUCAAGUGUCGUGCUAAUUCAGGUUUUGAUUCCCAAGAUGGACUCAACAGCUCCAGAGAUUGUCUCCAGGACUGACAACUUCCCCGUCUUCGGAAGUGAGAUAAGCAUGGCUGCAGAGAGAAGGGAGACUGCAUGGAGGCAGGAGGGAGAGGGCUUGUAUGUCUGACCAUUGGAAGCUCCCAUUUUCUUUAUAAAAUAGGAGGUAAAGUCACUGCUGAGAGUGAGGAGGGAGCUUAUGCAAGCGAGGUUCAGAGUCUUCUCUGAACUCUUGAGUUACAUCUGAUUUUUGAAAUAGUCUCGGCAGGAAGAAUGAAAGGUGAAUAAAGAAACACAGUAAAAGAAGUGAGCAUUGGUGAGGACCCAGUUGAGGGGGGUGACUGAAGGUUCCGAGAAGAGUUUGUCAUGUUCAGCAUUUCUGUCUCCCAACAGCACUCAGGGGUGAAUACUGAGAAAAUAAACAGUCGUAAUUGUCCACGUUAGGGCAUGAAAAGCACAUGCAAAAGAGAAACAAAGGGGCAAGAGGGCUGAUGACUAGAAUGAUUGAAGGAAGGGCCAGGAAAUCUAAGCUGAUUGGGGAUAGAUUAGAGAGAAAUAAGAAGAGCACUAACCUGACAGUCCAGGGAGACACAAGAAUGGUCAUGAAAUAGUUGAAAGACAAGCCAGAAUAAUAGGUUAUUUUCAGGAAGCACAAUGCUUAAAUUACUGGUUUUGGUGGCAAAAAUUAAUUCUCUAAGGGGAAAGUUGGGGAGGGAUACAUUGGGAGUUGGGAUUAGCAGAUAUACACUACUGUCUAUAAAACGGAUAAACAACAAGGUCCUACUGUAUAGCACAGGGAACGAUAUUCAAUAGCUUGUAAUGACUUAUAAUGGAAAAGAAGCAGAAAAGGAGAUAAAAUAUCUCUAUAUAGUCAUCGAUGGAUAGGUAGAUGAAUAGAUAGAGAUCUAAAUCACUUUGCUAUAUACCUGAAACUAACACAACAUUGUAAAUCAACUACACUAAAAUGUUGUUUGCUUUGAAAAAAAUUAAUCCUUUUAAAGCAUGAAAACGUGAAUGUAUUCUCCUUGAAAUUUUAGAGAAACGCCAAAAGGGUUAGAUGCAUUUGAAUAAAAGCCAAAGUCACUGUUGGCUGCCCACAUCCUCUCUCCCUCUGUGGAAAGGUGAACCGUGAUAACAGUUUGAUACCUAUGCCAAGUAAAAACAUAUGUACCCACCGAAGACAUAUUAUUGGUUUGUGUGUAUAGAUAGCUAUAUAUUUGUUGUUUAUACGUAGUCUGCUACUUGCUUUUCUCAUUUGAUGUUUUACUUAAUCAUACCUGACUUUGUUGACACAUGAAGCUGUUGUUCAUUCCUUUAACUAACACACAUUACAUGAAUAUAUCGCACUUAAUCUAGUCAUUUCCUUAUUGGACAUGGAUUGGUCAGGGUUCAGUAUAAGAAACAAAGAGCUGGAGUUCCCGUCGUGGUGCAGUGGUUAAUGAAUCCGACUAGGAACCAUGAGGUUGCGGGUUUGAUCCCUGCCCUUGCU